GAUGAACGCUAGCGGCAGGCCUAACACAUGCAAGUCGAGGGGUAGAGGAAGCUUGCUUCCUUGAGACUGGCGCACGGGUGCGUAACGCGUAUGCAAUCUACCUUUUACAGAGGGAUAGCCCAGAGAAAUUUGGAUUAAUACCUCAUAGUAUCUUUGCCUGGCAUCGGGUGAUUAUUAAAGUUCCAACGGUAAAAGAUGAGCAUGCGUCCUAUUAGCUAGAUGGUAAGGUAACGGCUUACCAUGGCAACGAUAGGUAGGGGUCCUGAGAGGGAGAUCCCCCACACUGGUACUGAGACACGGACCAGACUCCUACGGGAGGCAGCAGUGAGGAAUAUUGGACAAUGGGCGCAAGCCUGAUCCAGCCAUGCCGCGUGCAGGAAGACGGUCCUAUGGAUUGUAAACUGCUUUUGUACGGGAAGAAACACUCCCUCGUGAGGGAGCUUGACGGUACCGUAAGAAUAAGGAUCGGCUAACUCCGUGCCAGCCGCCGCAGUAAUAC
rnacentral:rRNA from 1 species